rnacentral:rRNA from 1 species
UUUUCCUACGGGGCGCAGCAGUAGGGAAUCUUCCACAAUGGACGAAAGUCUGAUGGAGCAACGCCGCGUGAGUGAAGAAGGGCUUCGGCUCGUAAAGCUCUGUUGGUAGUGGAGAAAGAUAGAGGUAGUAACUGGCCUUUAUUUGACGGUAAUUUCUUAGAAAGUCACGGCUAACUACGUGCCAGCAGCCGCGGUAAUACGUAGGUGGCCAGCGUUGUCCGGUUUUAUUCGGCGUAAAGC